rnacentral:rRNA from 1 species
UACGUAGGGGGCUAGCGUUGUCCGGAAUCAUUGGGCGUAAAGAGCGCGUAGGCGGCCAGAUAAGUCCGGUGUGAAAGUCACAGGCUCAACCUGUGAAUGCCGCUGGAAACUGUCUGGCUAGAGUCCGGAAGGGGCGAGUGGAAUUCCUGGUGUAGCGGUGAAAUGCGCAGAUAUCAGGAAGAACACCCGUGGCGAAGGCGGCUCUCUGGGACGGUACUGACGCUGAGACGCGAAAGCGUGGGGAGCAAACAGG